UGGGGCUUGAUCCAAGAUAGG
rnacentral:miRNA from 1 species